UUCGUUUAAAAACAACGCGUCGAAAACGUCGUGUCAGUCGAAGACCGACAUUAGUGCCGCGUGGUCAAUGCCUUGCAGGCGGUGCGACAUUUGUUGUACAUUUUAAAGAACGUGUGCGUUGUUUAACCUAAUAUUAGUUAAUCUACAAUAGCCUCAACGUUACAAAAAACUUUGUACGAAGCACGAGACA